rnacentral:scRNA from 1 species
UACCAGACACCCGAGCCUUACCAAACACCUCAGCCUCGCCAGACACCUUAGCAUUACCAAACACCCGAG